CCUACGGGGGGCAGCAGUAGGGAAUAUUGCUCAAUGGGCGAAACCCUGAAGCAGCAACGCCGCGUGGAGGAUGAAGGUUUUAGGAUUGUAAACUCCUUUUGUCAGAGAAGAUUAUGACGGUAUCUAACGAAUAAUCAACGGAUAACUCCGGGCCAGCAGCCGCGGUAAUACGGAGGGUGAAAGCGUUACGCGGAAUCACUGGGCGUAAAGAGUGCGUAGGCGGGGGGAUAAGUCAGAUGUGAAAUCCUGGUGCUUAACUACAGAACUGCAUUUGAAACUGUUACUCUGGAGUGUGGGAGAGGUAGGUGGAAUUCUUGGUGUAGGGGUAAAAUGCGUAGAGAUCAAGAGGAAUACUCAUUGCGAAGGCAGCAUACCGGCGCCAAACUGACGCUGAAGUACGAAAGCGUGGGUAGCGAACAGGAUUAGAUACCCCUGUAGUC
rnacentral:rRNA from 1 species